rnacentral:misc_RNA from 1 species
AAAGUCGUAACAAGGUAACCGUAGGUGAACCUGCGGUUGGAUCAUUAACAAUUUUAGCAGGAGCUUGUCUAUGGAUGAGGUCCUGUGAAAAAUCAAUCACCUUUUGUGCACUGUCUGUCUCUGGCGGCCGGGGCAAAGUAACCUUACUCUAGGUUGCAUAGCUCUGUCAGCUUGGUACCAGCACUUGUGUACCAGGCCGUGGACAAACCGCCAACCACUUUGUUUAACUCCCUGUUUUAAUCUCCUGUCUAACAAUUUUCUUUGUAUUAAACAUACAAUAAAACUUUUGGCAACGGAUCUCUUGGCUCUC